GAUGAACGCUAGCUACAGGCUUAACACAUGCAAGUCGAGGGGCAGCACAGUGUAGCAAUACAUGGGUGGCGACCGGCGCACGGGUGCGUAACGCGUAUCCAACCUUCCCGUUACUCAGGGAUAGCCUUCCGAAAGGGAGAUUAAUACCUGAUGGUGUUCAAAUUCCGCAUGUUAUUUGAACUAAAGAUUUAUCGGUAUCGGAUGGGGAUGCGUGACAAUAGAUAGUAGGCGGGGUAACGGCCCACCUAGUCUACGAUGUCUAGGGGUUCUGAGAGGAAGGUCCCCCACACUGGAACUGAGACACGGUCCAGACUCCUACGGGAGGCAGCAGUGAGGAAUAUUGGUCAAUGGUCGGAAGACUGAACCAGCCAAGUAGCGUGAAGGAUGAAGGUUCUAUGGAUUGUAAACUUCUUUUAUACGGGAAUAAAACCUCCCACGUGUGGGAGCUUGUAUGUACCGUAUGAAUAAGCAUCGGCUAACCCCGAGCCAGCCGCCGCCGUAAUAC
rnacentral:rRNA from 1 species